UACGAAGGGGGCUAGCGUUGCUCGGAAUGACUGGGCGUAAAGGGCGCGUAGGCGGUUUGUACAGUCAGGUGUGAAAUUCCCGGGCUCAACCUGGGGGCUGCACUUGAUACGUAUGGACUGGAGUGGGGAAGAGGGUCGUGGAAUCCCCAGUGUAGAGGUGAAAUUCGUAGAUAUUGGGAAGAACACCGGUGGCGAAGGCGGCGACCUGGUCCUUGACUGACGCUGAGGUGCGAAAGCGUGGGGAGCAAACAGG
rnacentral:rRNA from 1 species